rnacentral:piRNA from 1 species
UCCGCACGGUAUGCCUGAGCGCCUCCACC